rnacentral:lncRNA from 1 species
CACAUGGACCCGCUGGUCAAGCGGGCUCGGCAAGGCCAGGAUGAAGAGAAGCUGCGAACUUAGCACUCCCAGAGACCCCCGAGUGGAUAUCCGCGUGGAAAGGAUGUUGGCAGCCCCGGUGACCUCGGAGUCACGGCUGGAUCCACCCUCUUGUCUGAUUUUCUUAACUCGACCACGGUAAGAAGAUGCCCUCCAUCAGCGGGCUGUGCUUGCAGAUGUCGUGGGGCCUCUCUGGAGACUUCCCGAACCCUGUGGAUUUACAGUAAGAUGCAGUUUCCUGGGGAGUAAUUCUGGUGGAUACAAAUUCCGGAGUACUACACCUGGCUUGCCUGGAGAUGUUACAAGUAGUUGGUCGGAUUCUACAGCCUGGAUGCCCACUGAGAACAAGGACUGAAACUGAGAGGACUGUAUCUCUACCCUUGACUCAGUGGGAAUAUUUGCUGUCAUCUCUCGGGUUACCUGGAGCUCCCUCUAAAAUAGAGCUGAGUUCUGUCACCAUAGACAUUGGCAGUGGCGCUUGCAUGGUGCUUGCAUGCCCCUGGCAAGCAGUCUGUCCUGAGGUGGAGGAGUUGCCCUUGAGUUCUGGCUGGUAACCAGCACAGAUGAGAAGCAUUGACUUAAGAGAUGCCAAGUAACUCAGCAGAUGUCACACAGACGAUAAAUAGCAAAGAUGGAAGUCUUCAUGCCGGAGGCAAUCCUAUAAGACAGCUGAGUUCUCCAGAGCUGGUAGGAGACAGACUUGCUCAGGUGAUAGAUCCAGCCAUGAUACUGACCCUAAGAGAAUGAGACACUCUGCAGAAGACUUAGAAGAUUCCUGAGACUGGGAAAGGUGCCUAGAAAUCCUGAGAAGAGUGAAGAAGCCAUGGAUCCCUACCUGGGUGAUAUAAAACAAAAUAAAACAAGAAUGAAGAAAUCUGGAAACAAAGCUAAAAAGUAGUUUGUGAGUCUAAGAGUUGCAACUGAUUUCUUCGACAUGACAAAGGAGAGAAGAUGACAGGCUACUUAAAUGGAAGGAACUUAAAUGAAUUGUCAAGUAGGGGCUGCAGAGAUGGCUUGGAAGUUACAAGUGAUUGCUGCUGUUGCAUAGGACCAACUUGUAGCACAUUAUGGUUGGAGCCUAGGGUGAAGUAGAAUCCCACUUUCUCUGCUGGGUAAGGAAAAGCAUGGCACUCAACGGUGAGAUGAUCAUAUACAAACAACAGUGGAUACAUUGAAUGUGGGCCCUAUGGUGAUAACCUGAUGAGGGUUCAGUGAAAUGAUGAGGGCCCCACCAAUGCUCACCACUGCACUUCAUAAUGCCUUGAAUAUUUUGACUUUCUGAAUAGUCAGGGCUGGUCUUCCAUUUGAGUCUACCAAGCCAGAGUAUUCCCUGAGACACUUUGCAAGCCUCCUUGCUGUGAAAGAAGAGGACUAUGCUUGGAAGGCUUCAUACUACACUCAGCAGUGAGUGAUGGGCAGAGGUGGCUGUGUGCUUUGUCCCAUUAUGUAAAGGAGACACAAUCUUCCAGUUAUCUUCCACAGUUUCACAGCUGUGACUUACUGAAGACCAAAUCUGGCCAUGCCACUCUAUGCCUAACAUCUUCAGGAUCAAGACCCAGCUCUAGAGUAAUUUUGUUCACAGUCAUGUCUUUUCCCCUCUCUCCACACUGCCACAACUGUCAACUUGAUACAAGCUAAAAUUAUCAGUAAAGAAGAAACCUCAAUUGAGAAAACUUUCCCUACCAGAUUGGCCUGUGGAGCAAUUUCUUGGUUGAAGACUGAUGUAGGAGGAUCCAUCCCACAAUGAUUCUGCUAUCCAUGGGCCAGUGGUCCUGAUUCCUGUUACAAAGCCAUAUGAGCAAGCUACAAGAAGCAAGUCUUAAAAGGAUUCUGCUUCAGUUCCUGCUUUCACGAACCUUCCAUGCUUGAUUUCCUGCCCAGACUUCCCUCAGUGAUGGAUCUUUAUCUAGAAGUCUAGUCUGAAAUAAGCUUUUGCUCAGUGUUAUAUUAUAGCAGUGGAAACUCUAAGAUGAGGCCCCAAGAUUCCACAUCUGUAUUGGUCAGGAUCUGGCAGAGCCUCUUAGGAGACAGUUGUAUCCAGCUCCUGACAGCAAGCAUUGGACUGAGCAUGGGGACCCAAUGGAGGAGUUAGAUGAAAGACUGAAGGAGCUGAAGGGGCCUUAUCUGGCAUCAAUGGGAGGAGAGGCCCUUGGUCCUGAGAAGGCCCCUCGGUCCUGUGAAGGCUUGAUGCUCCAUUGUAGAGGAAUGCUAGGACAGUGAGGCAGAAAUGGGUGGGUGGGGGAGCACACUAAUAGAAGCAGGGUAAGGGAGGAUGGGAUAGAGUGUUUGCAGAGGGGAAACUGGGAAAAGGGAUAACAUUUGAACUGUAAAAAAAUCCAAUUAAAAAAAAAUAAAUUGUAUUUGUCAGGCUCUGGCAGAGCCUCUCAGGAGAUAGCUAUAUCAGGCUUCUGUCAGCAAGUACUUGCUGGCAUCCACAAUAGUGUCAGGGUUUGGUAGCUGUAUAUGGAUGGAUCCCCAGGUGGGACAGUCAAUGGAUGACCUUUCCUUCAGUUUCUGCUCUACACUUUGACUCUGAAAGUCCUCUCAUGGGUAUUUUGAUUCUUCUUCUAUGAAGGACUGAAGUAUCCACACUGUGGUCUUCCUUCUUCUUGAGCUUCAGGUGGUCUGUGAACUGUAUCUUGGGUAUUCCGAGCUUCACAUAUCCACUUAACAGUGAGUGAAUGCCAUGUGUGUUCUUUUGUGAUUGGGUUACCUCACUCAGGAUGAUUGGACUGAGCAAGGGUCCCCCAAUGGAGGAAUUAGAGAAAGGACCCAAGGAGCUGAAGGGGUUUGCAUCCCCAUAGGAGGAAAAACAAUAUGAACUAAUCAGUACCCACAGAGCUCUCAGGGACUAAACCACCAACCAAAGAGUACACAAGGAGGGACUCAAGGCUUCAGCUGCAUAUGUAGCAAAGGAUGACCUUGUGGGACAUCAAUGAGAGGAGAGGCCUUUGGCCUUGUGAAGGUUUGAUGCCCCAGUGCAGGGGAAUGCCAGGACAGGGAAGCAGGAGUGGGUGGGUUAAUGAGCAGGGGGAGGAGGGAUGGGAUAGGGAGGGUUUAGGAGGGGAAAUGAGGAAAGGGGAUAAAAUUUGAAAUGUAAAUAAAGAAAAUAUCUAAUAAAAAUGAAAAAAUAAAAUAAAUUGUAUAUAAUAAGAAUAAAAAACCUACCUUAGCUGCCUUUGGUGUUGCUUCUCUUUACGUACACAACCCUAAGAUUCAUUGUAUUGGGACCUCCAUGCCAAUGGGUUCUACAUUUAAGAAUUUAAACACCUCAGAAUAAAGAAAAAUUUACAUGUCU